rnacentral:lncRNA from 1 species
UGACUUGGUCUCUACAUGUUGCCCUGUCCUGUCUUUCUCAUUUCCACAGGUUCUCGUGCCUUUUUGAAUACCUUUGUAGUGAGGAGCCGGCUGCCUCCCCACCUCUUCUCACUUCUGCUGUUUUGUGAUCUUGCCGUUUUAAUGAGAGCACAGUCAAUAACUAUGGAGAGGUGCUGACGACAUUACAAAGGAACUCGCCCUUAACAAGUCAACUGUAGACGAGGUGCCAACGGGAUGGACAAGAGGAUUAAAGUAUUUAUGCCAAAAUAUCAGAAGCACACGCAGAAUUAGCUCCCUUCGUGUUAGAUAUUUUACUUUUGGCAAGUCCGUAUUUAAAAAUCUUUUAUCCUUGUUUUGCUUAAAGUAUUACAAUAAGCCCUGGAUUUUUCACAGUUACACUUGUAUAUUUUCACAGCUGUUUUAAUCAGAAAAAAUUAAUGUGCUUUUGAUAGCUCAGAAAUCUAUCACUGGCAAAAGCUUUGCAAAGAUGUGCUAUGGAGCAGAGUGGAAUCCUCAACAUCAUACAUUUUACUGGCUAUUUGAAAUUCAUAGAAUUUCCCCUAAAUAUUUUCUUUUGCAAUUCUUGCCUAAAUUAAUCUAACAGCUCGGGCUGACAUCUUUGAUAAUCUCUUU